UACAGAGGGUGCGAGCGUUAAUCGGAAUUACUGGGCGUAAAGGGUUCGUAGGUGGCUCGCUAAGUCAGACGUGAAAUCCCUCAGCUUAACUGGGGAACUGCGUCUGAGACUGGCAAGCUCGAGUGCAGGAGAGGAACGCGGAGUUCCAGGUGUAGCGGUGAAAUGCGUAGAUAUCUGGAGGAACACCGGUGGCGAAGGCGGCGUUCUGGACUGCAACUGACACUGAUGAACGAAAGCCAGGGGAGCAAACGGG
rnacentral:rRNA from 1 species